CCGCACAAGCUAUCCAUGAAACAAUAAAAACUUGACCGUGAAGUUUUAUACCACCAAUAUCCCA
rnacentral:tRNA from 1 species